UGAAGACACGUUGAGACAGGUAUCUCGACCUGCCAAGUAUAAAGCUAAAGCUGAGUUCAUAAAAAGGGAUGAUUUGGCCGACGGUCAUCUGCCAGAUUCUGAUGAUGAUUCAGAAGUCAGUGUGGAAGAAGAUCAGAGGGAGAGGCAGGCGCUCUUUGACUUAUCAAGCUGCUCCCUGAGGCCCAAAAGCUUCAAGUGUCAGACUUGUAAAAAGUCAUAUAUAGGGAAGUGGGGACUGGCCCAGCAUUUUAAACUUAAUCCAGGCCAUGGCCAGCUGGACCCUGAGAUGGUGCUAUCUGAGAAAGCCAAUGGGAGCACCCUCCGGGGGUGCACAGAGGAAAGGACGCUCAGCCUGACCUUCCCGGGGCUGUCCGUGCCAGCGGCUCCGCGUGAGGGAGGGGCCCGCUCCUGCUUGGUGAGAGAGUCAGCACGCGGUGGCCUGCAGGUGAACUGUCACCCCUACAACUCAGCUUGCAACCAGCCCUGGCCACCAGUUUCCCCACACUGAGCUGAAUAUCGGACAUGCCCAUCUCAGACAUUCCAGCCCAUUCUGAAAUUCCACAUCGAUUCACCUGACAAAGUCUGAAGUUCCAGGGCAAUUUAUCUGGAAAAGCUUACCUGGAAUCACGUGUCAUUUCAACCAACAACUGUUGAAGAGGACGUGGCAUUAAAACCAAGGGUAUCAAUUAUUUAUAA
rnacentral:lncRNA from 1 species